GCUGUUCCAGCCUGCCGUCCCAGCCGUGGUGGGAGAGUCCUUCCCUCCCCCCCAGCGCUUUUGAGACAUUGCGCAUUUGCCAGACGGAGGAGCGUGAAGUUAAUUAUCUCAUUGCUUUAAUUUGCACUCUGGCAUCAGGAAGGGUGUGCACUGGGGGUUCCAGGAUACUCAUCAGCGCCUGGCAGGGGCCCCUCGGAUGCUUCUGGUGGACUCCAGAAACCAUCUUCCAGGUGCCCGUGAUUUGGAGAAGCGACAGUUUCUUUUGUUAGUAAAAGUUUGGUCGAGCAAUAAAACUGUUGCUAAAUUCGCAAA